rnacentral:rRNA from 1 species
AACGAACGCUGGCGGCAUGCCUAACACAUGCAAGUCGAACGAGACCUUCGGGUCUAGUGGCGCACGGGUGCGUAACGCGUGGGAACCUUCCCUUAGGUUCGGAAUAACUCCCCGAAAGGGGUGCUAAUACCGGAUAAUUUCUUCGGACCAAAGAUUUAUCGCCUUUGGAUGGGCCCGCGUUGGAUUAGCUAGUUGGUAGGGUAAAAGCCUACCAAGGCGACGUUCCAUAGCUGGUCUGAGAGGAUGAUCAGCCACACUGGGACUGAGACACGGCCCAGACUCCUACGGGAGGAAGCAGUGGGGAAUAUUGGACAAUGGGCGAAAGCCUGAUCCAGCAAUGCCGCGUGAGUGAUGAAGGCGUUAGGGUUGUAAAGCUCUUUUACCCGGGAUGAUAAUGACAGUACCGGGAGAAUAAGCUCCGGCUAACUCCGUG